UACGUAGGCAGCAAGCGUUGUUCGGAAUUACUGGGCGUAAAGAGUGUGUAGGCGGUGCUCUAAGUUCGGUGUGAAAUCUCCCGGCUCAACUGGGGAGGUGCGCCGGAAACUGGGGUGCUGGAGCGCGGGAGAGGAAAGCGGAAUUCCCGGUGGAGUGGUGGAAUGCGUAGAUAUCGGGGGGAAUACCAGUGGCGAAAGCGGCACCCUAGCAGUUUUCUGACGCUCAUGUGCGAAAGCGUGGGGAGCGAACGGG
rnacentral:rRNA from 1 species